UGCUGCUAAAACACUUUUUGGAAAAGAAAUCAAAGGUCCUUUGGCAUUCAAAACGAUAAGAAAUACAGAUUUCCGUGAACUGACUCUGGAAGUAGAUGGACAAGUUGUGUUGAAAUUUGCACUUUGUUAUGGCUUCCAGAAUCUGCAAAAUAUUGUAAGAAAAGUUAAAAUGCGAAAAUGUGAUUAUCAUUUUGUGGAGGUUAUGGCAUGUCCAUCAGGUUGCUUGAAUGGUGGAGGUCAAAUCAAACCUACUCCAGGGCAAAAUCCAAAGGAUUUGCUUCAGUCAUUAGAAACUGUUUACAUGGAAAAUGUUUUGGUAGCAGAUCCCUUUGAGAACCCUCUUGUUAAAAGUUUAUAUGAUGAGUGGCUUGAAGAACCUGGCUCGGAGAACGCUAAAAGAUUCAUGCACACAGCAUAUCAUCCUAUAGUAAAAAGUGUAACUGCUCAGUUACAUAAUUGGUAAACUGGUCCCUAAUCUGAUUCCACAGAAAAUAUCAGAACUGCCCUUGCCUGCAAUCUUUGGGCUUGUUUUCGUCAAGGUAUUGUUGCAGUCUCACAAGAUAAUGUCCUUCAUCUGUGGUUCAUGGCUUGUUUAUGGGAUUGCAUUGUGCAGUGGAGUUCAAUUUUGGUAGACUAAACAGAUUUGUUAUUGUACCAUGUUCUACUAAUGUAUAUGCUGUAUGCUAGAAGCCUUUUCAGAUAGGAGAAAAAAAUUGGUUGACAUUGUUUCCUGUCACUAUUUUUUCCCCCUUUCCUUCCAGGUUUAAGGAUCCAAAUAAUAUUCCGAAUUCAUGUAUAUGCCUUUUUGUCUCAUUUUUGUAUAAUUGAACUGGUCUUCGGGAAUAGCGACCACCUGUUAGUGAAACGAAAUAAUGUUAAUGCCUC
rnacentral:misc_RNA from 1 species